rnacentral:lncRNA from 1 species
GGUGAUGGAACGGUAGGCUCUUCUCCACAAAGUCGCAUUUCGGGCGGUUAUCUGGCUUGUCGAUCUAUGCAUGGAGUUGAACAAUAAUAAGAACCCGAAUACUUAAAUGCACAAGAGGGAGUUGAACAAUCAUGCAAUGAGACCCCUAUUACCUAAUGCACGAUAGGAGCAAUAUGUGGGGAGGAGCCGCAAGAGGAGUUGAACAAUCAUGCAAUGAGACCCCUACCUAUGCAUAAUAGGAGCAAUGUGUGCGGAGGAGUCGCGACCUCCCUCGACCUCCCUCCCACACUAAACGUGGAAGGCUAAUUGCAAGUCAGUGCCCUCUGAAAGAGGAUGACUCUGUGGGUGGUUCUCCUAACUGUUCCAUCACCUUUUUUUUUUUUUUUUCCUUUUUCGGCAUUUUAAGUGUUCAAACGAUAAAAAAUUUAUGAAAAACAUAUAUAGACAAAUAGAUUAUUGAUCUAAUCACAUAUUGCUGUUAUUUUCUUUAUUUUAUUUUCUUAUGAAAAAAAUUAAAAAAAAAACCAAAUAUAUUAACAAUGACGAAGUAUAAAAUGAUCGUUCUAAAACUUUCAACACAGCAAGUUCAAGUUAUAGAUCAUUAUUUGAUCAGAUUGACAGCUAAAUAAUUCUGUACCGUCCACCAUCGAUACUUCAGGUAGUUAUAAUUACAACUCUAUCAGUGGCUAAGUGUGGCUUGAUGUGCCAGUAUUAUGUAUCCUGACAUUGAAAACCACUUAGGAGUUUUGCCCUCGAAGGCCAAAAUUCUUCAUGGUUUCCUCAUCUUCAUCUAUUUUAUGGUCCUUCAUGCUCUCCAAGAGCCCCUCCAGUUCUUUGCCAUUUCUGAUUAUCGCCUUCAAGAGAGCAUGAUACAUAUCUCUAUUUGCUGGAACCUUAGUUUCUCAAUAAUUUCACAAAAGCUUCUGCUCUUCAACUUCUCCAUUCUCACCUAGCCAACUCAAUAUGCUAGAUAUGUAUUAAAAUUGAUUUUGGACUCUAAUAUAUAUAUAUAUAUAUAUAUAUAAAUAUCUAUAUAUUUUGGGCCUGUAGAGCAAGAGCUUCCUUAAAGCACUUAAAAGCCUUCUCCAUAAUGUUGUUAUCCGCGUAUCGAGCUGCAACAAUAGGCCAACUGAUUGGACUUGCAGUCUUCCUUCUCUUCAUUAUAUCCUGUAGCUUUGCUUCGGCCUUCUUUCUUACAAUAUCCAAUAAGAAGGACAUUUGGCACUUGGAAAUCAUAAGUCUUCCAGGACAACUCCCACUUAUAAAGCAACUUUUCAGUUUCUUCAAGCUCACCAAGCUUCAUCAAUGAACCCAGCAUCCUUAUGUAGUUUAUGCUGGUAUGUUUCCUACAUUUGACCUUUUGAAGGUUCCCAAACUAGGAUACAAUGAAAUCAAGUGGUCAUAACCUAGUCCAUUUUUACCUACUUUUUUCUCACAUUCCUUGAGAUAAUGAAGUGCCUUUUCAUUAAGACCUGCUUUUAUGUAGUAGUUUGACAUUAUGGAAUAAGUAUCCCAAUCCAUUUGAAUCUGCCCUUGGCAUUCCAUCUCUUGUAGAACCUUGUCCACGCUAUUGUAAUCAGCUCUUGUCGCAUCAGAAUUUAUGCAAAUUCUAUAGCUGAACCUGUCGGGAUUUUCAAGUUGACCUGUGAUUGUCUAGAGGCACAUAAGGUUAUUGUAGUCAAGAGAAGAGGAAAGAAAACCCAUCUCCUUCAUCUUCUUCAUAAGGGAAAGGGCCUCGUCGAUCAGGCCUUCUUGAACAUAGCAAUUUAGAAGAGCACCGUAGGUGUUGACAGUUUUAUCUUGGUCUCUCAUGCUGCCAAAGAAGUUCGGAACUUUGCCCAUGAACUCUACCAAUUAGCCCAUAAAAACAUGGUGAAUUUCAAUAUCACUUCACCUACAUUGAAGACUUUGUCUCUGGACAUAGGUUACAGAGAUAAUCAUUUUGAAACUCGUGAUGAAGACAAGGUUGAAGCACGUAUUUUUCUUCCAAUAUAUGGAACUCAUCUCUUCCUAGCACUUAACAAUGUCAAGUGUCCUGAUUGCGUGGGAAACUCCCUUUGGACACACUGGUAAGAGACACUAACAAUGUUCUUUAUUACUGAAAUUAUAGAGUUUAUACUUAAUACAUUAUCAAUGAUUUUUUUUUUCUGUGCUUUAGACUGCUAGAAUUUGAUUCUGGUCACUUCACUUAAACCAAGAGUCCAGCACAUGAUACAUUAAACUCUAAUACAUUAUCAGUGAAUUACUGUUUCUACUCUAUCAAACCUAAUAUGGUAAUGCUAGUUAUUGUCAAUGGUACCCACUACUUACUAUUUCUCUUCUUUCAGGCACAUGAUUCUUUUCCUUUGUUCGUUAAUUUAACCCGACUGUUGCUAUCAUGUGUUGAUGAAAUUAAAUGGGAUCUGCUAUCGCUCUUCCUUGAAAAUUCUCAUAAACUAGAAACUUUUAUAGUUCAUAAUAAGGUCAGUUGAAUAUAGACAAAACUUUUCUAAUUCUUCCUAAACUAUGAUCUUACGUAUGAGUUGUGAUGUCUUUUGUCUCCAGAUAUUCACUAGCAAUGGGUGUGAAAGCCAGUGGACACAGCCAAGGGAUGUCCCUAUAUGUAUUUUGUCAAGUCCAACAGGGUAUGUUUUAAAAUUUUGGAAGGAUUGAAAGAUGAACUGAAAAUGGUAGGGUACUUUUUACCGAAUGCUAGAUUGUUGAGGACAACGGAAAUCUAAACCAAUAAUCAGUCUUCAGGUUCAAAUAUUCGUGAUGCUAUUGCUAAAGUGUUGUGGACAAGGGAAACCUACACCAGUAAUCAGUCUUCAGGUUCAAGAUUCGCAGUUUCAAGAGACAACUUUCAAUGUUGCCAGGGUUCUCGGAGACUUGUGUUUCUGUUAACUCAUUUAAUCAUUGGAAAAUUAAAAAAUUUCUAUUAAAUUUGAGAUGGAUAUUCUUAUUAUUCAUUAGUGUUGGCACAAAUAUAUGUUCCUUUGCUUGAUUAUCUGAUGUGAAUAUUUGGCAUGAAAAAGUUUUGAAUUAAGUCAAACAUACAUCGAACAUAUAUGAAUGCAUUCAUAGCAAUUUUUCUUUGCAAAACGAGCUGAAUAUUUGACAUAAAAAGAUUAUUGUUUAAACCAUAGUUUUAGUCUAAGAUGGAGCUGUGAAAUGUGAACAGUUAUAUGAAAUAAAAGUUAAAUUAUAGCAUAUUUGAAAGCGCUAGUAUAUGUUAUAACAUUUCCUACUCAAGUUUUUUUUAUGUAUUGAUAUUAAUCAAUGAAUUUAUAAAUGCAUGGCCAAAUGGGAAAAAAAACAUUUUAGAAUUAUGAUUAUAGAAUUGCUCAUUUUUACUCUCUUUCUCUGUUUGGUAGGCACAGGCCCAUCUCACUCAUCACCGGUGCCUCUUUGGUACAGUUAGCAGGGACUGUCUCUUUCUAUGCAAGCUGACUAUUGGAGAGGGUUCAAAUGGUUUUUGUUCAUAGGAAGGGCGAGCAGGGUUCAUAGUUGAUCUUGAAUCCAUUUUGGACUUUAGAUAUAUAGAUUUAGGGUUCACUAUUUAGGGUUUAGGGUUUAGAUAUAAACUGCUAUUAUGUUAUAUUAGCCAGACCAAUUGAUCCUAACUGGCGAGGCUCACAGCCUUUUUUGUUUUUUUUGUUUUAAAUAAGUAUUAAGUAAUUAAAACAUCUUGCUUUUGGGAGCAAAUGAAGUAGCAAGUGUCUCUCUCUUUUCCAUUUGUUUGUUAAUUGGUCAUGACAGCUGAGGUGUGGUAUCACUCUUCCUUCAAAAUUCUCAUAAACUAGAAACUCCUGUAGUUCGUAAUAAAGUCGGUUGAAUAUAGACAUGGAUUGCAAAACCUGAGAUCAUAUGUAUGAGUUGUGCUUUCGUUGACUCUAGAUAUUCACUAGCAAUAGGUGAGAAUGCCAUCAGACACAGCCAAAAGUGUCAUGGUCAUUGGAGGAGACAUGAAUCAACGUUGACUAUGAACUAGAGAUAAAUAUAACUAUUCACACUACUUUCAACUUGUGAUAUGUUUUUUUAUAAGAUAAAACGGAUAAUAUUUUACAAAGUCGGUGUGAUGUGAACCAUGACACAAACAUGUACACUGAUGUGUCUCUUAUCAAGUCUAGCAAAAGUACGUAUGUAUUAAUGUUAGCUUAUAACUUUUCUAUAUUGAUCAUGCUUUGAAUAUUGCAUGAAGAUACAGUAAAAACUUUUAAGAGUAGACGAUGGGCUCAACUACUAAAUCUUACGUACUUGCAUUAAAGAUCAAACUAAUUGUUAGUAUAUCUGUCUGCCCUAGGUUGGAGAUGAACAGCACCAAAGCAUGAUUCAAAAUUUUUUUUGUUUUUUUGGUCAUACCUCGAAACUAUUUGUAUUAGAAAAGUUGUAAGGUUGGAACAUGAGCUCGGAUUGAUAGAACACAUAGGGCCUUGAAUACAAUGACAAUCUGGAGCUAUGGUUUCUUUUCGGCUUCAGAUUUCCUUCUUCACAACAAUUUAUCAAUGAUUCAAAGGUGCUCUGAGACUCGUAAACUUGAAUUCAAAUGUGAAGAAUCAGCAGUCCUAAAAUUUCCCGGCCCCUUACUGAUGUAAUAAAAUCUUCUGUUGCAUAUAUAUGACACUUAAUAAUUAAGUCUAACUUAAUAUUAUUGAUAUUCUUAUUUGGUUAUCUUGGCUGUAACACAUCUCAUGAGAAUGUCCAACUUUGGAGUUUGAUUUUCGAUUUCUUAAGACUCUCCAGUCACUAAUCCUUGAAGUAUUCUUGAAACCAGUGUUACAGGCUUAAAAACAAUGUAAACAUGUCAUUGAAUCGCCAGAGAAUUAAACUUCGAAGUAGCCCUAAAUCUCACCACCUGAUCAGUCAGAACAAAACAUAUGGAUUAAAGGAGAAAACCAUCCCACAUCGCUUCAAAACAAGAUACCCCUUGUUAUUUAUAUAUUCUAAACUCAAAUCAGAUCAGCAAGGUGAUGGAACGGUAGGCUCUCCUCCACGGGGUCGGAUUUCGGGUGGUUAUUUGGCUUGCCGAUCUAUACAUGGAGUUGAACAAUACGAACCCUAUUACCUAUGUACAGGAGGAGUUGAACAAUUAGACAAUGAGACCCGUAUGCACAGAGGAGCAAUGUGUGUGGAGGAGCCGCCCCCCUCCCACACUAAGCGUGGAAGGCUAAUUGCAAGACAGUGCCCUCUGAAAGAGGAUGGCUCUGUGGGUGGUUCUCCUACUGAUCCAUCACCUUUUUUUUCCUUUUUCGGCAUUUCAAGUGUUCAAAC